GUCCAUGCCGUAAACGUUGGGAACUAGAUGUGGGGCCAUUCCACGGUCUCCGUGUCGCAGCUAACGCAUUAAGUUCCCCGCCUGGGGAGUACGGCCGCAAGGCUAAAACUCAAAGGAAUUGACGGGGCCCGCACAAGCGGCGGAGCAUGCGGAUUAAUUCGAUGCAACGCGAAGAACCUUACCAAGGCUUGACAUAUACCGGAAACGUCCAGAGAUGGUCGCCCCGCAAGGUCGGUAUACAGGUGGUGCAUGGUUGUCGU
rnacentral:rRNA from 1 species